AUUGAACGCUGGCGGCAUGCCUUACACAUGCAAGUCGAACGGCAGCACGGGAGCAAUCCUGGUGGCGAGUGGCGAACGGGUGAGUAAUACAUCGGAACGCGCCCAGUAGUGGGGGAUAGCCCGGCGAAAGCCGGAUUAAUACCGCAUACGACCUAUGGGUGAAAGCGGGGGAUCGCAAGACCUCGCGCUAUUGGAGCGGCCGAUGUCAGAUUAGCUAGUUGGUGGGGUAAAGGCCUACCAAGGCGACGAUCUGUAGCCGGUCUGAGAGGACGAACAGCCACACUGGGACUGAGACACGGCCCAGACUCCUACGGGAGGCAGCAGUGGGGAAUUUUGGACAAUGGGCGCAAGCCUGAUCCAGACAUGCCGCGUGCGGGAAGAAGGCCUUCGGGUUGUAAACCGCUUUUGUCAGGGAAGAAACGCUCCGAGUUAAUACCUCGGAGUAAUGACGGUACCUGAAGAAUAAGCACCGGCUAACUACGUGCCAGCAGCCGCCGUAA
rnacentral:rRNA from 1 species